CGGGGUGUAGCUCAGUUGGCUAGAGCACUACGUUCGGGACGUAGGGGACGCUGGUUCAAGUCCAGUCACCCCGACAA
rnacentral:tRNA from 1 species